rnacentral:rRNA from 1 species
UAUGUGAUCGUCUCUCGCAUAUCAAUAAGCGGAGGAAAAGAAACUAACAAGGAUUCCCUUAGUAACGGCGAGUGAAGCGGGAAGAGCUCAAAUUUGAAAUCUUCAAGGUUUUACCUUGACGAAUUGUAGUUUAAAGAAGUGUUUUCUGUUGAAGUUUUGGUAAAAGUUCUUUGGAAUAGGACAUCAUAGAGGGUGAGAAUCCCGUAUUUGACCAUUAUUUUCAGCUGUGUGAUACACUUUCAAAGAGUCGGAUUGUUUGGGAAUGCAGUCCAAAAUGGGUGGUAAAUUUCAUCUAAAGCUAAAUAUUGGCGAGAGACCGAUAGCGAACAAGUACCGUGAGGGAAAGAUGAAAAGAACUUUGAAAAGAGAGUUAAACAGUACGUGAAAUUGUCAAAAGGGAAGCGUUUGACACCAGUGUUGUUUUCUCGAAAUCAAUUAAAAAGAGUUAGAUUUUGUUGUGUAUUGACCUUAACAGCUUGCAUUUCAAUUUUCUUGCUUUUUUUAAUGCACUUUUCGCUUAACAAGUCAACAUCAGUUUCUUUUGUUGUAAAAAGGUCAUUGGAAGGUGGCUUUCUUUUCGGAGAAAGUGUUUAUAGCCUUUGACUCCUGCAAUCGGAGAGACUGAGGUCUGCAGCGUAGAUCCUUCGGGGUUAGAUACAUUUGUGCUAAGUUAUAGCUUUUUAUAGACAACUUGUUGACUAUGAUUAGUCUUGUAGCUUACUCGCUUAUGCCAUUUUACCUACGCUUAGGAUGUUGAAGAUGUAGCACAUCAU